UGCUCUGCUGCUAAUAACUAGCUCACACCAAGUUCUGAUCUCACUGAUUGGGAAAGAGCUUAAUAGAGCAUGGUGGUUAUGCUCUUGGCCACACAAGCUGGAGUUUAAAUCUCAGCUCCACUUAGUAACGUGGCUAUGUGCUUUAGGUCAGACACUGCAUCUCUUUAGGCUUCCACUUUCUUUUCUGUGAAAUAGAAUGAGGAUGUUUGCUAUACCUGUGUCAGAGUUGACGAGUGGGAAGAAUGGGCUAAUGACGUGCAAAUGCAUCCUAAAGGCCUGUGUUACUCAGUGAAGAUAAAGGUUUAAAAAUUCUAAAAUCCUUAGAAGAGACUUGUAUAAAGGAAACUGAAAAUGCCUGACUAUGGAGUCACCAAUUUAGAGACUAAAAGAAACUUUGGGUUUUCAGUGGCAAAGGGAGAAAGAGAAAGAAGGAUUUCAGCACGCCUGAGCCUGGCCAGAGAGCUUCAGAUGGAUCACUCCAUUCCACAGCCCAGGCAAGAGUGGGACUCAAGAAAGAGCAGCCUUGCUGCUUGUGGAAUAGCUUUAAGGAGCUCCUUUCCAAACAGAUGUGGCCUUGCCUUGGAAACUGGUUAACACAAUAGACUGCCUGGGGUCUGAUAUUCAAUUCUCUUCAGGCUAUAGAAAUGAGAGACUCUUUGGUUGACCUGGCAUUCUGCCAUGUCAAAGAGCCCACUGGAAUCUCUACUUUGCCAUUUGCAGGAAAUGGCAGGAAGUGUAAGAAAAUCUGGAAUCCAGGAACAUUUAAUCACGCCACAUUAUGAGGUCACUCUCUCUGGAUCAGGAUGUGACCAACUUUUGUGGAGUCGAGUCAGUUGGCUUCAUUAUUCCCCUGCAACAUUUCCUUUGCACUCGUCGAUUUCCAUGGCUACAUGAUGAUUACUUCCUGAGAAACAAAGGAACACAUGUGUUUGGAAGUAAAAAGGAAGCAUACAGAUCACCUAUUGAACCACAGCCCUGUAAAACCUGAAAUCUCCCUGGACAACCCACUUCCUGAAAAAUGACUCAGCAAAAGCUCCCAAGAAGAACUGCUCAUGUUUAAUACAAUCGUUCGGGCCAGCGCUUAUUUCUUAUCUAUAAAGUCCCCUUGUGAUUGAUGAUUCAUGUUUCUUUUCAAUUACGGGCUUUGAAUGCAAACUAUUUCUUAAU
rnacentral:lncRNA from 1 species